AGAAUCAACGCUGGCGGCGUGCCUGACACAUGCAAGUCGAACGAGAAAGCGGGGGCAACUCCGUGAGUAAAGUGGCGACCGGGUGAGUAACACGUGACUAACCUACCCUCUAGUGGGGAACAACCUCGGGAAACCGGGGCUAAUACCGCAUAACCUCCGCGGGUGAAAUUCCUGCGGAGCAAAGGAGCAAUUCGCUGGAGGAGGGGGUCGCGGCUGAUUAGCUAGUUGGCGGGGUAACGGCCCACCAAGGCGAUGAUCAGUAGCCGGCCUGAGAGGGCGCACGGCCACACUGGAACUGAAACACGGUCCAGACUCCUACGGGAGGCAGCAGUGGGGAAUUUUGCGCAAUGGGGGAAACCCUGACGCAGCAACGCCGCGUGGAGGAUGAAGUCCCUUGGGACGUAAACUCCUUUCGACCGGGACGAAUAAUGACGGUACCGGUGGAAGAAGCCCCGGCUAACUUCGUGCCAGCAGCCGCGGUAAUACGAGGGGGGCGAGCGUUGUUCGGAAUUAUUGGGCGUAAAGGGCGCGUAGGCGGUGCGGUAAGUCUUCUGUGAAAUCCCCGGGCUCAACUCGGGGCUUGCAGAGGAA
rnacentral:rRNA from 1 species